AGUGAACGCUGGCGGUAGGCCUAACACAUGCCAGUCGAACGGCAGCACAGUAAGAGCUUGCUCUUACGGGUGGCGAGUGGCGGACGGGUGAGGAAUACAUCGGAAUCUACUUUUUCGUGGGGGAUAACGUAGGGAAACUUACGCUAAUACCGCAUACGACCUACGGGUGAAAGCAGGGGAUCUUCGGACCUUGCGCGAUUGAAUGAGCCGAUGUCGGAUUAGCUAGUUGGCGGGGUAAAGGCCCACCAAGGCGACGAUCCGUAGCUGGUCUGAGAGGAUGAUCAGCCACACUGGAACUGAGACACGGUCCAGACUCCUACGGGAGGCAGCAGUGGGGAAUGUUGGACAAUGGGCGCAAGCCUGAUCCAGCCAUACCGCGUGGGUGAAGAAGGCCUUCGGGUUGUAAAGCCCUUUUGUUGGGAAAGAAAAGCAGCAGGUUAAUACCCCGCUGUUCUGACGGUACCCAAAGAAUAAGCACCGGCUAACUUCGUG
rnacentral:rRNA from 1 species